GGCCUGCUGCGGCGAGAUGUAGUGCACGUGCGGGUCGAUGGCGCCAGCGGUCGCAAUGAGGUGCUCGCCGGCGAUGAACUCCGUCCCGGUGCCCACCACGAGGCGCGGAUCGACGCCGUCCUGCAGGUGCGGGUUGCCGGACUUGCCGACAGCCGCGAUCUUGCCGUCCUUGACGCCGAUGUCGCCUUUCACCACGCCGAGCACCGGGUCGAUGAUGAUCGCGUUGGUGAUGACCAGGUCGAGCACGCCCUGCGGGCCCGUCACGUUCGGGUCCGCGCCCAUGCCGUCGCG
rnacentral:sRNA from 1 species